rnacentral:tRNA from 1 species
UGCUCUAUAGUUUAUUAAUAAAAUAUGGAUUUUGUAAAUCUAAGAUGGAAAAGCAA